rnacentral:lncRNA from 1 species
NNNNNNNNNNNNNNNNNNNNNNNNNNNNNNNNNNNNNNNNNNNNGCUGGGGGCCCGGGCGGCGGCGCGUGUCCUCCGGGAGCGGCGGGGACCUCAGCGGCCGGCCCCUCGGUGGCGGCGACGACAAGGGCAACCGUAAGAGUAACACCAGGAGAAGAAACCGGCUUCCGAGCCCUGGGCCAGCCCCGGGAGUGCCAGACGGCUCAGCUCCUUGCAUCGUCACUAGCGACACGGAGGUUGAGUGACUUCUCCGGGGUCACCGAGCCCACCCAGCCCGCUGACGCCAGAGCUGACACAGAGACAGUAGGACGAGGAUACACUGCGCAGUGAACCCUUCACAGAUGGAGAAACGGAGGCCCAGAGAGGUGAUGUGGCUUGCCCAAGGACACACAGCUGCCCAUAGCAGGAGUGGGAUUUGAACCAGGCCCAGAGAGGUGAAGUGGCUUGCCCAAGGACACACAGCUGCCCAUAGCAGGAGUAGGAUUUGAACCCAUGACCCAUCUGACGCCAGAGCACUCAAGGCCCGAAGACUCCAACCUCCAUCCCAAACAGUUGCUGCCCCCCCACAUGUGUACAAAGAGGCUCAGAGAGGGGAAGUAACUUGCCCAGGGUCACACAGCUGCCAUAGCAGAAAUGGGACUUGAACCCACCACCCUUCAGACUCCCACCACUCAUGGCCGGAAGACUCCAACCUCUAUCCCAAACAGUUGUCUCCCCAACAUGUCUACAAAGCUCCUCGGCAUUUCUCCACCAUCUUUGAGCAGCACUCAACAAACGGCCGGGUUAUUGAUCAUCACCUUACAGGCUUGCAGGAAACAGAAACAGGACAGAGCAGGUCCUCAGAAGAAUUGGAAGACGAUCUGGGUGGCAGAAAUCCAGAGGCAGAAGCAAAAAGGACCCAUCGGGGCAAGAGGCAUCAGAAGGGACCAGAACUUGCAAGAUCUUGUUGGCCGAGGAAGGGGUUUCAGUUUGGCCUUAAAAGCCAUGGGGAAAAUAAAUAAAUAAAAUCUUUAAAAAAAAAAAAAAAAGCCAUGGGGAGCCACCUGUAGGCUUUCAGCAGGGCAAGACAGGGCUAUAUGCGUUUCCGUUGUCAUCCACACAUUUUGUUCAUUCAUUCUUUCCACAAAUAUUGAUGCAGCAAACAUAUGAAAACAUUCUUAGCAUCAUUAGUCACCAGGGAAAUGCAAACAAAACCCCAACUAUGACAACCUACCGGAGGGACUAAAUUGAAAAUACCAAGUUUCCACCAUGAUGGAGAAGUAGGAAAACACUCCUACUCCGUUAGUGGGAGCAUAAAUGGAUUCAACUACUUUGGAAAACUGCUAGGUACUUUGUGCCCAAGCUGAACACAGGGCUGCAAGGUCAUACAGCAACUUCUCUCCUUCCUGGGGGAGACAGGAGUGCCGAUGGGCAUCGAAACACGUCUAUGAGUUAUGCCCGUUAAGUUCUAUUCGUAUAGCUAAAAACUAGAAUAGGCAUGGCCCAUUGGUAGUCAAAAAGAUGAAUGAAUUGUGGCAUAUGCACACAGUAGAUCACCACACAGCCAAAACAUUUUUAAAAAUAGAAUCGGGGUACCUGGGUGGCUCAGUCGGUUAAGCAUCUGCCUUCAGCUCAGGUUAUGAUCUCCAGGUCCUGAGACCGAGCCCUGAGUCGGGAAAUAAAAUAAAAUUCAUUGAGGUGGACAUUCAAGGAGCUUGCACUUCUAUAAUUAAGAGCUACACCUUACAUAAACAUUGAAACCAGAAAAUAAAUAGUGUACCGUUUUCCUGGAACAGAAACUGAGGGUUACGGCGCAAGAAGGAACAUGCAGGGCCCCAUUGGUGGGAUGUGGCCCAGCGACGCCCAGCCCUGCCCUUGAACUGCCAGUGCUCCCCCCACCCAGAACCAAAGUCCCUCCCUUCUUCUCUCUGUCCCCUUCCCCCCACCCCAUCUUCGGGUCCAUACAGUGAGAAAUACCUGAGACACAGCGGCUCUGGGCCACGGGCCAAACCCACCUGACUGGCAAUCAACAAAAGAACUGGAUGAAAAUCCAGCCUUGGUAGCCCGUGAUGGAGUGAAUCCAGCAGACCCCGCAGACAGGAAGGCCAGGGAGAUCCUUUUGAUUUCUCCCUGAAUCCUAGCAUCCUGUUCGCGUUUACCUAUCACUGCUGGCAGUCAUCUAAUUAUUUAUGUGCUUUGUAGAGGCCUCCCCAGCCACAGUGCUGAAAGGUACUAGCUCCUGCCAUCCCUGACGUCAACUGCCUCCUUUCUGGUGUCCUGUGCCUGUCCCUCCCCACUGCAACCAGCACUCUCUACACAGCAGCCAGAGAGAGGGGGGUCCUGAAAGCAAGCCAGAGGUGUCUUAGCAAGAAUGCUACCCCCCACACACACACCUAAAGCCUGCCCCAGCCUCCCACUGUGCUCAGCACAAAACCUGACCAGCUAUGAUGCAGGCAUUCUCAGUAGACACCCGCGAGAUCCAAAAGCGGGGACGCCAACAGAUAUUUGCAAACCCACGUUCCUAGCGGCAUUCUUCACAAGAGCCAGGAGAUGGAGGUCACCCGGGCAUCCGCAGAGAGAUGAUAAACAAAAUGUACUAGAAUACACACAACGGAAAAUUAUUCAGCCUUAAAAAGGAAAGAAAUUUCAAGGCGUGCUACAAACUCCAAGUCUUGAAGACACUCUGCCAAGCGAGAAAAGGCCGGCCACGACGGGCAGAUAGGGAGAGAGUUCAAUUCCGCGAGGUUCCCGUGGUGGUCAAGUUCAUGGGGACAGAGAGGCGAGUGGUGGUUCCCGGGGGCUGUAGGGAGGGAAGGAAGAGGUGCCCAGUUGGUGUUUCAUAAUGUGGAGUUUCAGUUCUCUGCCCCUGCUUCUGUGCACUCUCUCCACCAAAUAAAUAAAUAAAAUCUUAAAAAAAAAAAAAAAAACCUUACCCUGAGUAGCCCCCGCCCCCCAGCUCCUCACCUGGUUUAUGUUCUUCGUAGUAUUUAACACUCCCUGAAAAUGUUUAAUUGGCUCUUCUCUCCUCCUAGGAUAAGGACAUGACCUUGGUUCCCUUCAGGAACUCACUCAACAAAUAUUUGCCUAGCAUCAUUUAGUGUCCCAGGCAGGAGCUGGCAAAUUACUACCAGCCCUUUGUUUUUUUAUAAAUAAAGUCUUACUGGAAUACAGUCCUAUACAUUGCUUUAUGAAUGCUGCCUUAUGCAAUUUUAAAAAGAUGUUAUUUAUUUAUUUGUCGGAGAGAGAGAGAGGGAGCUGCAGGCAGAAGGAGAAGCAGGCUCCCUGCAGAGCAAGGAGCCUGAUUCAGGACUCGAUCUCAGAAACCUGGGAUCAUGAUCCGAGCCAAAGGCAGCUUAACUCACCGAGCGAGCCACUAAGGUAACCCUGCUUUGUGCCUUUUUUUCUUUUCAAGAUUUUAUUUAUUUAUUUGACAGAGAUCAAGAGUAGGUAGAGAGAAAGGGAAGCAGGCUUCCUGCCAAGCAGAGAGCCUGAGGCGGGGCUUGAUCUUAGAACCCUGGGAUCAUGACCCGCGCCGAAGGCAGAGGCUUUAACCCACUGAGCCACCCAGGCGCCCCUGCUUUAUGCCUUUUUUAUGGCUGCUUCAGCCCUCCAUCUCAGAGCUGAGUAGUUCCAACAGAGAUAGCCAACUUUGGGGAACAGGAGAGAACCCAGCAGGGUUGGAGUGGAAGGCGGGAGGGAAC